CAGUAGCCGCGGGAAUACGUAGGUGGCAAGCGUUGUCCGGAAUUAUUGGGCGUAAAGGGCUCGCAGGCGGUUUCUUAAGUCUGAUGUGAAAGCCCCCGGCUCAACCGGGGAGGGUCAUUGGAAACUGGGAAACUUGAGUGCAGAAGAGGAGAGUGGGAUUCCACGUGUAGCGGUGAAAUGCGUAGAGAUGUGGAGGAACACCAGUGGCGAAGGCGACUCUCUGGUCUGUAACUGACGCUGAGGAGCGAAAGCGUGGGGAGCGAACAGGAUUAGAUACCCCAGUAGUCCCUGUCUCUUAUAC
rnacentral:rRNA from 1 species